rnacentral:rRNA from 1 species
UGGGGAAUUUUGGACAAUGGGCGAAAGCCUGAUCCAGCAAUGCCGCGUGUGUGAAGAAGGCCUUCGGGUUGUAAAGCACUUUUGUCCGGAAAGAAAUCCUUGGCUCUAAUACAGUCGGGGGAUGACGGUACCGGAAGAAUAAGCACCGGCUAACUACGUGCCAGCAGCCGCGGUAAUACGUAGGGUGCAAGCGUUAAUCGGAAUUACUGGGCGUAAAGCGUGCGCAGGCGGUUUGCUAAGACCGAUGUGAAAUCCCCGGGCUCAACCUGGGAACUGCAUUGGUGACUGGCAGGCUAGAGUAUGGCAGAGGGGGGUUAGAAUUCCACGUGUAGCAGUGAAAUGCGUAGAGAUGUGGAGGAAUACCGAUGGCGAAGGCAGCCCCCUGGGCCAAUACUGACGCUCAUGCACGAAAGCGUGGGGGAGCAAAGCAGGAUUAGAUACCCCUGGUAGUCCACGCCCUAAACGAUGUCAACUAGUUGUUGGGGAUUCAUUUCCUUAGUAACGUAGCUAACGCGUGAAGUUGACCGCCUGGGGAGUACGGUCGCAAGAUUAAAACUUAAAGGAAUUGACGGGGUCAUAGCUGUUUCCU